rnacentral:rRNA from 1 species
UGAACGCGUGGCGGCGUAGCUUAACACAUGCAAGUCGUAACGGAGUUUUAACGGAAGUUUCGGAUGGAAGUUAGAACUAGUGGCGGACGGGUGAGGUAACGCGUGGGUAACCUGACCUCAUACAGGGGAUAACAGUUAGAAAUGACUGCUAACACCGCAUAUAUAGCGAAACCGCAGUGAUUUUGCUAUCAAAUAUUUAUAGGGUAUGAGAUGGGCCCGCGUCUGAUUAGCUAGUUGGUGGGGUAAAAGCCUACCAAGGCGACGAUCAGUAGCCGGCUUGAGAGAGUGACCGGCCACAUGGGACUGAGACACGGCCCAAACUCCUACGGGAGGCAGCAGUGGGGAAUAUUGGACAAUGGGGGAAACCCUGAUCCAGCCGACGCCGCGUGAGUGAAGAAGUAUUUCGGUAUGUAAAGCUCUAUCAGCAGGGAAGAUAAUGACAGUACCUGACUAAGAAGCCCCGGCUAACUACGUGCCAGCCGCCGC